UACGGGAGGCAGCAGUGGGGAAUAUUGCACAAUGGGCGAAAGCCUGAUGCAGCUAUGCCGCGUGUAUGAAGAAGGCCUUAGGGUUGUAAAGUACUUUCAUCGGGGAGGAAAAAACAAAACUAAUAAUUUUAUUUCUUGACGUUACCCGAAAAAGAAGCACCGGCUAACUCCGUGCCAGCAGCCGCGGUAAUACGGAGGGUGCUAGCGUUAAUCAGAAUUACUGGGCGUAAAGAGCACGUAGGUGGUUUUUUUAAGUCAGAUGUGAAAUCCCUGGGCUUAACCUGGAACUGCAUUUUGAAACUGAAAUACUAGAGUAUCGUAGAGGGAGGUAGAAUUCUAGGUGUAGCGGUGAAAUGCGUAGAUAUCUGGAGGAAUACCUGUGGCGAAAGCGGCCUCUAAACGAAUACUGACACUGAGUGCGAAAGCGUGGGGAGCAAACGAGGGAUUAGGAUACCCGU
rnacentral:rRNA from 1 species